rnacentral:rRNA from 1 species
GACGAACGCUGGCGGCGUGCCUAGUACAUGCAAGUCGAACGCUGAAACUUGGUGCUUGCACCGAGCGGAUGAGUUGCGAACGGGUGAGUAACGCGUAGGUAACCUGCCUGGUAGCGGGGGAUAACUAUUGGAAACGAUAGCUAAUACCGCAUAAGAGUAGAUGUUGCAUGACAUUUGCUUAAAAGGUGCAAUUGCAUCACUACCAGAUGGACCUGCGUUGUAUUAGCUAGUUGGUGGGGUAACGGCGCACCAAGGCGACGAUACGUAGCCGACCUGAGAGGGUGAUCGGCCACACUGGGACUGAGACACGGCCCAGACUCCUACGGGAGGCAGCAGGAGGGAAUCUUCGGCAAGGGACGGAAGUCUGACCGAGCAACGCCGCGUGAGUGAAGAAGGUUUUCGGAUCGUAAAGCUCUGUUGUAAGAGAAGAACGAGUGUGAGAGUGGAAAGUUCACACUGUGACGGUAUCUUACCAGAAAGGGACGGCUAACUACGUG